UACGUAGGGUGCAAGCGUUGUCCGGAAUUAUUGGGCGUAAAGAGCUCGUAGGCGGUCUGUCGCGUCUGCUGUGAAAACUCAGGGCUUAACCCUGAGCUUGCAGUGGGUACGGGCAGACUAGAGUGCGGUAGGGGAGACUGGAAUUCCUGGUGUAGCGGUGAAAUGCGCAGAUAUCAGGAGGAACACCGGUGGCGAAGGCGGGGUCUCUGGGCCGUAACUGACGCUGGAGGAGCGAAAGCAUCGGGGAGCGAACAGG
rnacentral:rRNA from 1 species